rnacentral:sRNA from 14 species
CGCAGGCAACGACCCGAAGGGCGAAGCGCGCAGCGCUGAGUCAUCCUUCCCCCACCACCA